rnacentral:tRNA from 1 species
GGGCGCAUAGCUCAGUCGGUAGAGCAGCUGACUCUUAAUCAGCGGGUCGCAGGUUCGAAUCCUGCUGCGCCCACCA